AUAUUGGGGUGGGCCGAGGUGUUAGAAGUAAGGGUGGGGGCAGACUUGUUGAACUAGAGGAAUACAACAAAAUAGAUAUAAACCACAAGCCUUCCCCUGAAGCAGCUGAGACGCUAGCUGGGUAUACAAUAGUGCCACUCAUCCAAUUUAAGAAUAAUACCAUACAAUAAAGUUCAGAAUAUAUGGCAAAAACUACAAAUAAUCAUGCAUGUGGGCUAGGAACACCGAUUCUGCUGCUGUCAAUGAGUUUGUUGACAUGGAUCCUUUUCCUUAUAGAGUUUGUGAUCCUACGAGAUGAGAAAUGGGGUGGAAACAAAACCUACACAGCUUACAUGGACCUGGAAAAGGACUUUGCUGCUGAGGUUGUACAUCCUGGAGACCUGAAGAAUUCUGUUGAAGUCGCACUGAACAAGUUGCUGGAUCCAAUCCGGGAAAAGUUUAAUACCCCUGCCCUGAAAAAACUGGCCAGCGCUGCCUACCCAGAUCCCUCGAAGCAGAAGCCAAUGGCCAAAGGCCCUGCCAAGAAUUCAGAACCAGAGGAGGUCAUCCCAUCCCGGCUGGAUAUCCGUGUGGGGAAAAUCAUCACUGUGGAGAAGCACCCAGACGCAGACAGCCUGUAUGUGGAGAAGAUUGACGUGGGGGAAGCUGAACCACGGACUGUGGUGAGCGGCCUGGUACAGUUCGUGCCCAAGGAGGAACUGCAGGACAGGCUGGUAGUGGUGCUGUGCAACCUGAAACCCCAGAAGAUGAGAGGAGUCGAGUCCCAAGGCAUGCUUCUGUGUGCUUCUAUAGAAGGGAUAAACCGCCAGGUUGAACCUCUGGACCCUCCGGCAGGCUCUGCUCCUGGUGAGCGCGUGUUUGUGAAGGGCUAUGAAAAGGGCCAACCAGAUGAGGAGCUCAAGCCCAAGAAGAAAGUCUUCGAGAAGUUGCAGGCUGACUUUAAAAUUUCUGAGGAGUGCAUCGCACAGUGGAAGCAAACCAACUUCAUGACCAAGCUGGGCUCCAUUUCCUGUAAAUCGCUGAAAGGGGGGAA
rnacentral:sRNA from 1 species